rnacentral:rRNA from 1 species
CUACGGAAGGUCCGGGCGUUAUCCGGAUUUAUUGGGUUUAAAGGGAGCGCAGGCGGAGAUGCAAGCGCGACGUCAAAUUUCGGGGCUCAACCCCGUCUCGCGUCGCGAACUGCGUCCCUUGGUUGCGGGAAGGGGAGGCGGAACUCGUGGUGUAGCGGGGAAAUGCAUAGAUAUCACGAAGAACUCCGAUCGCGAAGGCAGCCUUCCGGCCCGUCAACGACGCUCAUGCUCGAAGGUGCGGGUAUCAAACAGGAUUAGAUACCCUGGUAGUCCGCACAGUAAACGAUGGACACCCGCGGUUUGGCCUGUAUGGCUGAGCCGCCAAGCGAAAGCGUUAAGUGUCCCACCUGGGGAGUACGCCGGCAACGGUGAAACUCAAAGGAAUUGACGGGG